GGCACUAUGGCCGAGUGGUUAAGGCGAAAGACUCGAAUUCCAUUCAGCUUGCGCUGAUUCAAAAUCCGAUAUCUUUUCUCGUUUCGAGGCGCAGGUUCGAGUCCUGCUGGUGUCG